GGGGAUAUAGCUCAUUUGGUAGAGUACUUGCCUCAUAUGCAUAACGCCCUGGGUUCAAACCCCAGCACCACCU
rfam:Ictidomys tridecemlineatus contig071760, whole genome shotgun sequence.